rnacentral:SRP_RNA from 2 species
ACUGGGCGUGGUCACGCACGCCUGUAAUCCCAGCUACUUAGGAGGCUGAGGCAGGAGAAUAGCUUGAACCUGGGAGGCGGAGGUUGCAGUGAGCCAAGACUGCGCCACUGCACUCCAGCCUAGGUGACAGAGCAAGACCCUGUCUCAA